GAUGAACGCUGGCGGCGUGCCUAAUACAUGCAAGUCGAGCGAACAGACGAGGAGCUUGCUCCUCUGACGUUAGCGGCGGACGGGUGAGUAACACGUGGAUAACCUACCUAUAAGACUGGGAUAACUUCGGGAAACCGGAGCUAAUACCGGAUAAUAUAUUGAACCGCAUGGUUCAAUAGUGAAAGACGGUUUUGCUGUCACCUAUAGAUGGAUCCGCGCCGCAUUAGCUAGUUGGUAAGGUAACGGCUUACCAAGGCAACGAUGCGUAGCCGACCUGAGAGGGUGAUCGGCCACACUGGAACUGAGACACGGACCAGACUCCUACGGGAGGCAGCAGUAGGGAAUCUUCCGCAAUGGGCGAAAGCCUGACGGAGCAACGCCGCGUGAGUGAUGAAGGUCUUCGGAUCGUAAAACUCUGUUAUUAGGGAAGAACAAAUGUGUAAGUAACUAUGCACGUCUUGACGGUACCUAAUCAGAAAGCCACGGCUAACUACGUG
rnacentral:rRNA from 1 species